UACGGGGGGGGGCAAGCGUUGUUCGGAAUUACUGGGCGUAAAGGGCUCGUAGGCGGCCAACUAAGUCGGAUGUGAAAUCCCCCAGGCUCAACUUGGGAACUGCAUCCGAUACUGGAUGGCUUGAAUUCGGGAGAGGGAUGCAGAAUUCCAGGUGUAGCGGUGAAAUGCGUAGAUAUCUGGAGGAAUACCGGUGGCGAAGGCGGCAUCCUGGACCGACAUUGACGCUGAGGAGCGAAAAGCUAGGGGGAGCAAACGGGG
rnacentral:rRNA from 1 species